rnacentral:rRNA from 1 species
CCUACGGGGGGCUGCAGUGGGGAAUAUUGCACAAUGGGCGCAAGCCUGAUGCAGCCAUGCCGCGUGUGUGAAGAAGGCCUUCGGGUUGUAAAGCACUUUCAGCGGGGAGGAAGGCGUUAAGGUUAAUAACCUUGGCGAUUGACGUUACCCGCAGAAGAAGCACCGGCUAACUCCGUGCCAGCAGCCGCGGUAAUACGGAGGGUGCAAGCGUUAAUCGGAAUUACUGGGCGUAAAGCGCACGCAGGCGGUCUGUCAAGUCGGAUGUGAAAUCCCGGGCUCAACCUGGGAACUGCAUUCGAAACUGGCAGGCUAGAGUCUUGUAGAGGGGGGUAGAAUUCCAGGUGUAGCGGUGAAAUGCGUAGAGAUCUGGAGGAAUACCGGUGGCGAAGGCGGCCCCCUGGACAAAGACUGACGCUCAGGUGCGAAAGCGUGGGGAGCAAACAGGAUUAGAUACCCCAGUAGUC